GACGAACCGUGCAAACGUUGUUCGGAAUCACUGGGCUUAAAGGGCGCGUAGGCGGGCAGGCAAGUCCGGGGUGAAAUCUUUCGGCUUAACCGGAAAAGUGCCUUGGAUACUGCUUGUCUGGAGGGAGGUAGGGGCAUGUGGAACUUCUGGUGGAGCGGUGAAAUGCGUUGAUAUCAGAAGGAACGCCGGUGGCGAAAGCGGGUCUCUGGACAGUUCCUGACGCUGAGGCACGAAGGCCAGGGGAGCAAACGGG
rnacentral:rRNA from 1 species